rnacentral:tRNA from 1 species
GCAGUGGUGGUUCAGUGGUAGAAUUUUUGCCUUCGAUAUGGGAGACCUGGGUUUGAUUCCCAGCCAAUGAA